rnacentral:rRNA from 1 species
GAUGAACGCUGGCGGCGUGCCUAAUACAUGCAAGUCGAGCGAACGGACGAGAGGCUUGCUUCUCUGAUGUUAGCGGCGCACGGGUGAGUAACACGUGGAUAACCUACCUAUAAGACUGGGAUAACUUCGGGAAACGGGAGCUACUACCGGAGAAUAUCUUGAACCGCAGGGUUCAAAAGUGAAAGCCGGUCUUGCUGUCACUUAUAGAUGGAUCAGCGCUGCAUUAGCUAGUUGGUAAGGUAAAGGCUUACCAAGGCAACGAUGCGUAGCCGGCCUGAGAGGACGAUCGGCCACACUGGAACUGAGACACGGCCCAGACUCCUACGGGAGGCAGCAGUAGGGAAUCUUGCGCAAUGGGCGAAAGCCUGAUCGAGCAACGCCGCGUGAGUGAUGAAGGUCUUCGGAUUGUAAAGCACUGUUGUCAGGGAAGAACACAUGUGUACGUAUCCGUGCAGAGCUUGACGGUACCUAAUCAGAAAGCCCCGGCUAACUACGUG